CAGUCGCCACGGUAAUACGGAGGGUGCAAGCGUUACUCGGAAUCACUGGGCGUAAAGGACGCGUAGGCGGGUCUUUAAGUCAGGCGUGAAAUCCUGGAGCUCAACUCCAGAACUGCCUUUGAUACUGAAGAUCUUGAGUUCGGGAGAGGUGAGUGGAACUGCGAGUGUAGAGGUGAAAUUCGUAGAUAUUCGCAAGAACACCAGUGGCGAAGGCGGCUCACUGGCCCGAUACUGACGCUGAGGCACGAAAGCGUGGGGAGCAAACAGGAUUAGAUACCCCUGUAGUCCCUGUCUCUUAUAC
rnacentral:rRNA from 1 species